GAUUUGUCAUGACUGGCAGUCUCCUUUGUUCUGUUCCACCCCCAUUUAUAUCUUUGGCACAAGGCAGGAAUCCUUUGUCUCUCUUUGGGUUCCCACACUUCCUUCUAAAUGGAAAAGCACCAGGUACAAAAUGGAUUUCAGUAUCAUGUAACAUGGUAAGACCUCAUUCUUCAUUACCCAUGU